UGCGGCCUACGGGGGGCAGCAGUGAGGAAUAUUGGUCAAUGGACGCAAGUCUGAACCAGCCAUGCCGCGUGCAGGAUGACGGCUCUAUGAGUUGUAAACUGCUUUUGUACGAGGGUAAACCCCGAUACGUGUAUCGGGUUGAAAGUAUCGUACGAAUAAGGAUCGGCUAACUCCGUGCCAGCAGCCGCGGUAAUACGGAGGAUCCGAGCGUUAUCCGGAUUUAUUGGGUUUAAAGGGUGCGCAGGCGGGCUGUUAAGCCGGCGGUAAAAAUUCAGGG
rnacentral:rRNA from 1 species